GACGAACGCUGGCGGCGUGCUUAACACAUGCAAGUCGAACGGUGAACCAGGGCUUGCCCUGGGGAUCAGUGGCGAACGGGUGAGUAACACGUGGGCAACCUGCCCCUGACACUGGGAUAACUUCGGGAAACCGAAGCUAAUACCGGAUACGACCUCUGACGGCAUCGUCGGAGGUGGAAAGUUUUUCGGUCAGGGAUGGGCCCGCGGCCUAUCAGCGUGUUGGUGGGGUAAUGGCCCACCAAGGCGACGACGGGUAGCCGGCCUGAGAGGGCGACCGGGCACACUGGGACUGAGACCCGGCCCAGACUCCUACGGGAGGCAGCAGUGGGGAAUAUUGCGCACUGGGCGAAAGCCUGACGCAGCGACGCCGCGUGAGGGAUGAAGGCCUUCGGGUUGUAAACCUCUUUCAGCAGGGACGAAGCGAAAGUGACUGUACCUGCAGAAGAAGCACCGGCUAACUACGUGCCAGCAGCCGCCGUAA
rnacentral:rRNA from 1 species